rnacentral:lncRNA from 1 species
UCUCCCGAUGGCAGUGUCCUGUCGAAGCGCUUCCCUUGCCACAGGAAAUUUUGCUGAAGUCCAUGAUCCAACGUCUGAAGAAGAAAGUUCGUCAUUUAACAAAAAGGUCAGAGGAGAUGGAUGGCGAACUUCGCAGGUUGAGGGAGAGCCACUCUGAGGCCACUACAGAGGCCACCUACUUUCGAAACCUCCACGUGAAGG